UAGAAUUCCAGGAGUAGCGGUGAAAUGCGUAGAUAUCUGGAGGAAUACCAAAGGCGAAGGCAGUCCCCUGGUCCGAUACUGACACUGAGGUACGAAAGCGUGGGGAGCAAACAGGAUUAGAUACCCUGGUAGUCCACGCCCUAAACGAUGUCGAUUAGCCAUUGGAAGGACCCCUUUUCCUUUCAGUGACGUAGCUAACGCGUUAAAUCGACCGCCUGGGAAGUACGACCGCAAGGUUAAAACUCAAAGGAAUUGACGGGGACCUGAACAAGCGGUGAAUGAUGUGGAUUAAUUCGAUGCUACGCGAAGAACCUUACCUACCUUUGACAUGGCCAAAGUUCUACCGAGAGGCGGAAGUACUCGUAAGAGGAUUGGCGCACAGGUGCUGCAUGGUUGUCGUCAGUUCGUGUCGUGAGAUGUUGGGUUCAGUCCCGCAACGAACGCAACCCUUAUCUUUAAUUGCUCCUAUUUUAACAGGCACUUUAAAGAAACUGCCAAUGAUAAGUUGGAGGAAGGUGGGGAUCACGUCAAGUCCGCAUGGCCUUUAUAGGUAGGGCUUCACACGUCAUACAAUGGUUAGAACAAAGAGCUGCAAAUUCGUAAGAAGGAGCCAAUCUCACAAACCUAACCUCAGUUCGAAUUGCGGUCUGCAACUCGAGCGCAUGAAGCCGGAAUCGCUAGUAAUCGUGGAUCAGAAUGC
rnacentral:rRNA from 1 species